GAUGAACGCUAGCUACAGGCUUAACACAUGCAAGUCGAGGGGCAGCAUGGUCUUAGCUUGCUAAGGCCGAUGGCGACCGGCGCACGGGUGAGUAACACGUAUCCAACCUGCCGUCUACUCUUGGACAGCCUUCUGAAAGGAAGAUUAAUACAAGAUGGCAUCAUGAGUCCGCAUGUUCACAUGAUUAAAGGUAUUCCGGUAGACGAUGGGGAUGCGUUCCAUUAGAUAGUAGGCGGGGUAACGGCCCACCUAGUCUUCGAUGGAUAGGGGUUCUGAGAGGAAGGUCCCCCACAGUGGAACUGAGACACGGUCCAAACGCCUACGGGAGGCAGCAGUGAGGAAGAGUGGGCAAGGGGCGCAGGCCUGAACCAGCCAAGUAGCGUGAAGGAUGACUGCGCUAGGGGUUGUAAACUUCUUUUAUAAAGGAAUAAAGUCGGGUAUGGAUACCCGUUUGCAUGUACUUUAUGAAUAAGGAUCGGCUAACUCCGUG
rnacentral:rRNA from 1 species